UCCCUGGUGGACUAGUGGCUAGGCUACAGCUCUCUCACUGCUGCGGCCCGGGUUUGAUUCCUGGCCAGGGAA